rnacentral:misc_RNA from 1 species
CAAAGUAUUUGAUAUCCGUAGCCCGUUUUUUUACUGAGUCACGCAAUCCUCUCUCUGUCUGCUGUCUCUCUCUCUCUCCCUCUGCCGAGUCCAAGUACUGCUCGACUCGGUUCCAGCUCACGUUCUCCUCUUAUUCGAUUCGAACUCGAACGCGCAGUCACGCUCUUCAUACUGCUCUGUUCUUCUCUUUGUGAUUCCAUGGACCCCUAUCAAUCACAUCCUGUCUCGAACCUCCUUCGUCAGCCGUUGAAUUUAUAGAAAUCUUAAGAACCCUUCUUUGUUGACUUUUGCUAUUUUUCAGUGAAUCGAAUGGCUUGGUAUCAUUGUAUUGUGCUUUCUUUUUCACUCGUCUGUUUAGUGCGUGCUCUUGACGCAAGUGCUGGUGAUGCUGAUCCGAUUUAUAAGGCAUGUGUGGAGCAAUGUGAGAAAACUGGAUGUGUGGGCAGGAAAUGCUUCCAACAUUGUAAAUUCUCAUCCGAUGGAAAACCUAUUGAUGGACCAUGGUAUCUUCAAGAGCCACUAUAUCUGCAAUGGAAACAGUGGGACUGUCGCAGUGAUUGUCGAUAUCAUUGCAUGAUUUCCAGGGAGGAAGAAAGACAGAAACUUGGUGAUAAGCCUGUCAAGUAUCAUGGGAAAUGGGCAUUUCAACGUGUUAAUGGAAUCCAGGAACCUAUUUCUGUUGCUCUCUCUGCUCUAAAUCUCGCCAUUCAGUUUCAUGGUUGGGUAUCCUUUUUCAUCCUUAUUUACUACACGCUGCCGUUGAGGCCAAAUAAGAAGACUUAUUAUGAA